AGAGAGAGAGAGAGAGAGAGACGUCGAGAGAGGGAGAGCGAGAGAAAGCGGCGUGCGAGAGAGAGGGCCGGGGGGAAGGCGAGAGAGAUGAAAAUAAUACUUUUAAUUAGAUUUGGGGUUGUUGGAGGGUAAAAUUGUCAUUUUACAUAAUAUGUAGUAUUAACGGGUUUCAGUAAUGCAGGAUACACGACCCCCCUCCCGUUAAUAUUUUCGAUGUGAUCCUGCUCGAUUUGUAAUGCUACAUUAACGACUAGAUUACAUAGCGGAUUAACCAAACACAGUUAUCCUGGCAGGAUUGCCUGUAAUCCUAUCAGGAUAACUCGAACCAAACGCACCCUUAGAAGUAUCACCCACUUGGUGCUAUUAGAUUUUUAGCCUUGGAUCUACUCUUUGAUUACUAAUAGCCUUUGGAUCAAACACUAUUCCAUCUACCACCACCUACCAUCAUCAUCCCAACUUUACAUUUUUCCAUCCAAUGGCUAAAAACUCAAAAGCAGCAACCCCUUGGUACUUUUGAGAGUAUUCUAGCUCAUCUCUCUCUCUCUCUCUCUCUCUCUCUCUCUCUCUCU
rnacentral:lncRNA from 1 species